ACGUACAUAUCCUUUGCCGACCCGUCCUUGGAAGGUGUUUAAAAACUAUUUUGAUAUUGGGUACACUGUUAUAUAUUUUUUUUUCUUUGGUGUGUGAAAGUUGAGGGUUUUGUAGUGGCGACUGCAGAGCCGAGAAAUAAAUUUGUGCAACUGAUCUUUGCCGAGCUUAAAUGCAUUUUAUGCAUUGUGGCCCGAAAUUUGGGACACAUAUACUAGAUAGCUCAUAGCUGCGCCAAGGGAAGAUCUGGAGGCUCUUGCCGCGAACUAUGAGAUGUUCGCUGCUGCUAAGCCUGAACCCAAUUCGUUCUAUCCGUUUCUUUUCUAAUUAACAUCCGGUGGAGUUAACAAGUAUUCUAAAAUUUUAUACAAGCGGAGCCUAAGCAAAUUCAGGUCACGGAAAGAAGUACCAGCGAAGGUAGCAAGGUGACCGUCUGGUGUCGGCCAGUACUCAAGUCAAAGAGUUUAGAUCUGGGAGACCCCCCAAGUGUUCAGCAAAUACACUCAUUCAGCGGAUUGAACCCGAGGAGCACAUGACGGGCUAGGAAGGAUCAUAUGAAUGUAGUGCAGUUAAAUCGACCACCAAACAAAAAACAAAUUUCAAUAAUGUUCCUUGCUACUUGUUUUCUCCAAUCGACUUUGACGUACUUGCAAAAGCCUUCUAUGAUUUUUAAAUGUGAAAUUUUGCUGAAGCCAAGAAUAAUGAGAACUGUCAU
rnacentral:sRNA from 1 species